rnacentral:rRNA from 1 species
UAGAGCCUACGGGGGGCAGCAGUGAGGAAUAUUGGUCAAUGGGCGAGAGCCUGAACCAGCCAAGUCGCGUGAGGGAAGACGGUCCUAUGGAUUGUAAACCUCUUUUGUCGGGGAGCAAAAAGACUACGUGUAGUCCCAAGCGAGAGUACCCGAAGAAAAAGCAUCGGCUAACUCCGUGCCAGCAGCCGCGGUAAUACGGAGGAUGCGAGCGUUAUCCGGAUUUAUUGGGUUUAAAGGGUGCGUAGGCGGAUUUUUAAGUCAGCGGUAAAAUGUCCGGGCUCAACCCGGGCCGGCCGUUGAAACUG